GCGGUCGUGGCGGAAUGGCAGACGCGCUGUCUUGAGGGGGCAGUAGGGGUAUCCCUGUGGAAGUUCGAGUCUUCUCGGCCGCA
rnacentral:tRNA from 1 species